UACGAAGGGGGCUAGCGUUGCUCGGAAUUACUGGGCGUAAAGCGCACGUAGGCGGAUCUUUAAGUCAGGGGUGAAAUCCUGGAGCUCAACUCCAGAACUGCCUUUGAUACUGAAGGUCUUGAGUUCGGGAGAGGUGAGUGGAACUGCGAGUGUAGAGGUGAAAUUCGUAGAUAUUCGCAAGAACACCAGUGGCGAAGGCGGCUCACUGGGCCCGAUACUGACGCUGAGGUGCGAA
rnacentral:rRNA from 1 species